rnacentral:rRNA from 1 species
UAGGGAAUCUUCCACAAUGGGUGCAAACCUGAUGGAGCAAUGCCGCGUGAGUGAAGAAGGUCUUCGGAUCGUAAAGCUCUGUUGUUAGAGAAGAACACGUGCUAGGUAACUACUAGCGCCUUGACGGUAUCUAACCAGAAAGUCACGGCUAACUACGUGCCAGCAGCCGCGGUAAUACGUAGGUGACAAGCGUUGUCCGGAUUUAUUGGGCGUAAAGGGAGCGCAGGCGGUCUGUUUAGUCUAAUGUGAAAGCCCACGGCUUAACCGUGGAACGGCAUUGGAAACUAACAGACUUGAAUGUAGAAGAGGAAAAUGGAAUUCCAAGUGUAGCGGUGGAAUGCGUAGAUAUUUGGAGGAACACCAGUGGCGAAGGCGAUUUUCUGGUCUAACAUUGACGCUGAGGCUCGAAAGCGUGGGGAGCGAACAGGAUUAGAUACCCUGGUAGUCCACGCCGUAAACGAUGAGUGCUAAGUGUUGGGGGCUUUCCGGCCCUCGGUGCUGGAGCUAACGUAUUAAGCACUCCGCCUGGGGAUUACGACCGCAAGGUUG